CAGUCGCCACGGUAAUACAGAGGCCUCAAGCGUUGUUCGGAUUCAUUGGGCGUAAAGGGUGCGUAGGUGGCUUGGUAAGUUGAAGGUGAAAUCUCGGGGCUUAACCCCGAAACUGCCUUCAAUACUGCUAGGCUCGAGGACUGUAGAGGAGAAUGGAAUUCACGGUGUAGCAGUGAAAUGCGUAGAUAUCGUGAGGAAGACCAGUGGCGAAGGCGAUUCUCUGGGCAGUUCCUGACACUGAGGCACGAAGGCCUGGGGAGCAAACGGGAUUAGAUACCCGCGUAGUCCCUGUCUCUUAUAC
rnacentral:rRNA from 1 species